CACGUAGGGCGCAAGCGUUAAUCGGAAUUACUGGGCGUAAAGCGUGCGCAGGCGGCUUUGCAAGACAGAUGUGAAAUCCCCGGGCUUAACCUGGGAACUGCAUUUGUGACUGCAUGGCUGGAGUGCGGCAGAGGGGGGAUGGAAUUCCGCGUGUAGCAGUGAAAUGCGUAGAUAUGCGGAGGAACACCGAUGGCGAAGGCAAUCCCCUGGGCCUGCACUGACGCUGAGGAGCGAAAAGCGUGGGGAGCGAACAGG
rnacentral:rRNA from 1 species